CAGGUGUGUUGGGAUUGUCUGCUCU
rnacentral:miRNA from 1 species